GUGGGUGUAGCUCAGCUGGUAGAGCGCUGGACUGUGGAUCCAGUCGUCGUGGGUUCAAUCCCCAUCACCCACCCCA
rnacentral:tRNA from 1 species